UUUUUUUCUGUUGGAUCAUACAAUUUGGUUUUUAUUGGGCUCUGUUGAGUGUUUUGGAGGUUUUUAGCAUACAUUUAUAUUUACUUCAAUGGAUACGAUUUUUGCAAGCAACUCGGUGUAAUUUUGUUCAUGUUUCUAGACCAGACUUGUGUAGAGUGUAGAGAGGAGAAUAUUUCCAAGGCCUGAGUAUGGAUGGAACACUAAGGCUAUGUUUGGUUCCCGGAAAAUGCUAAGGAAAGGAAAAAAAAUCUUGUGGAAAAUUAUUUUCUUUAGUUUGGAUGAGACGGAAAGUAUGAUGGAAAAAAAAUAUAAAGGAAAAUGUUAAAGAAAAUAUCAUGUUGUUUUCCCUACUAUUUUCCUUAAAAAAUAAUGAGGAAAAGAGAAGGGAAAAUUGGGGAAAAUUUUAUCGGGGCUCGUGGUAUGUCGUCACCGAGCAUCUCCUCCGUCUCUCUCACCCCUGUCUAGUUAGCUCCUCCACCCUGGCCUUCAGCUCUGUCUCGAACUGCUCUAGCUCCGCCACCUUGGCCCUCAGGCAGGCGAUCUCUUCUGCGGCAGCGUGGAUCUAGUCCACCAUACGCUUCUCCUCCCUGUGCCAAGCUUCGCGAUGGUCGGCGAAGAUUUCAACAACUCGGGCGUUCUUCAAAUCAAGUUCCCAUGGAUGAAAUGAAUUCUUCAAAAUAGAUGGUUAUUUUCUUUUCCAAAUUUUCUCAUCUCCCAUUGUUUUUCCCAUGCUUUUCUCAAUAAAAAACUAUAGUGUCGGCCUAAUUUACCAAACCCUCAAUCCACUUAAGUUCAUCACCAUCAUUUGGCUACCUGGAAAUGAGCUUUCCCCUCUCCUUCUCCAAAUCUCCUCACUCCCAUUCUUUACCCUAAUUUUUUCUCACGAGACAAACAGAGCAUCAAUACAGAUAUUUCAAAGAAAAGAGAUACCUGAUUAUUCGGUAUAAGGGCUCAGGAAAUUUUGCAGGGUUUCGAGCGAAACUUCCAAAACAUCUCAGAUGGGCGGCGUUAUAAAAAGAAAGUAGAGGUGAAAUCUCGGAGAUCAACGAGCGUUUUGAAUGAAACGCUUUCAUUUUCUGUUCAGUUUUCGGACAGUCGAACUGUAAAAUAGUUGAAAGCGAGUUUCAAUGGAAGAGCACAUGCCCCUUGUAAACCCACUCUAUUGGCCCUUCUCUCUCUUUUUUUAUUUUUUUUCUUUUAUAUAUAUAUAUUUUUACUGUAUAUUUUUUUCAAUAAGGGUGUGUUUGCCAACGUUUUUUAAAACUACUUUUUAAUGUUUUUGGAAAACAAAAAUGGGUAUGAACUACUUUUUAAUGUUUUUGGAAAACAAAAAUGGGUAUGAAUUGUUUUAAUCUAUAUUUGAUGUUUUAAAAUAAAUUUUAAAAAUAAAAUUUAUAUUUAAUAUUUUAUUUUUAAUUAUUUUUUAUAUUUAUAUAAUUAUUUUUUUAAAGCAAUCAACUGAAAAAAUUUAGAUUAAAUAAAAAAAAUUAAAUUAAAUUAUUAAGUCACUUUUAAGUCGUUAUGCUUAACUCUUAUAUGCCAGUAGAGAUUUUCUCUAUUAUUUUAUUUUAUUUUUCACGUGGUUUGUAUUUUUUUGUUUCUUUAUUGAAGUUGUUUUAACAUUACUUUAAUUCUCCACGGCUAUAAUUUAACAAUAACAAAUAUAAAUUUCAUUAAUAUAGUAAUAGAUUUUUAGAAAAUAAGAGCAUAAAAUUUAUUUUAUUAUUCAACAAAUUGAUAACCAUCUAAAAAAAAUUAUUAAUUUUGUUUUCCUUCAAUUUUUCUUUGACUCUUUUUCGUGGUUAACCAAACAAAAGAAAAUGAAUUUUUUUUUCUCUUCAAUUUUCCAUGGAUAACCAAACAAGUGAAAAAAUUUAUAUUCCUUUCCUUAGCUUUUUCUUUCCUUCCAUUUUUCCUUCAAAUUUUAUUUCUCUCGUAUUUUCCGGGAACCAAACAUAGCCUAAGGCAAAUGUAGGGGGACUUACGAAACAAGCACCAAACCCUAAUGGAAACAUUUUUGUGCAUUACCUUCCUUUCGAUUAUUAUUGGAUUUGUUUGGUUGGUUGAUUCCUUGUAACAUUUGUCACAGAUGAAUUUUGAAGGAAUUGGAGGAUAUUAGACUAUUCAUUGCCUUCUCCAGGCUUGCCGAAGUGGUUCUAGCUAUUCACUUGGAUGUCUUUGCAUUUUGAUGUUAGUUUUCGACCUAAUAUUUUUCACAUGUUUCAAAAUUUUAUAUGAAAUUAUUUUUAAUCGUAAGUUUUAUAUUAAGU
rnacentral:lncRNA from 1 species